AUAUCAUUUCCCUAUCAAGUCCCACUCGGAUCUUUUUUUUAAUUUUUUUUUUUUAUACUACUUAAAGUGUUCUCAGUGGUCUUUAAAUUGUGAUUAUGAAGUUUUUAAUCCUAAAUCGCAUUACCUGUGUUAUUUUCAAGGGCUUUUCUUCUGCAGAGCUCCAGUAGCUCAUUAGCAAUUCACCUCUAAGUGAGGGGUGGAGACAGCGCUGCUCUGCACACUCCUCUUCAUGCUAGCAGCCUUACAUAUCUGGUGUAAUAGAAGUAGCAGGUAACAUAAGAGCUAUUCAGUUCUCAGACACUAUUGUCUUUGGGGGCAUGAUGAAAGUUAAUAUCAUAAUUAUCUUUCUUAUAAGCAUUGCAAUCUGCUCAUGCACAUGCUUGUUCCGCGAUUGUCCUCCCUAUUUGUCCCAUUCAGGUCUGCAUAGCGGGGCUCCGGGGGCGGAGCUUGGAUUAGCUAUGUAGGAAAUCUCACUGUUUCUGAACCUGCUGUGUGGGUCUGCCAGAGAUUCACAGCAAUUUCAAUGCAGAAAUACUCAGAAAAGGAAUUUCGAAACUUAUUUUUCUUAUGAUAUGUCCUGUAGCAUCAGAAAAAUGUCAUACGAACAAGAAAAACAUGAUUUUCAUUGGAGUGGGUCUUUAAUCAGAGGAAGUACAAAACACACAGAAUAUUUUAAAACAGAUGUGACAGUCACUAUUGAAUAAACAGGAGUGCACGGGACAACUUUCAUAAUCUAGCAAGAGCAGACACUGGUGGGAAAGCACACUUUAAAAAUGAAAUUUCCUAUAAAUGAAAAUGCAGUGUGGAGUUCGACAUUAGAGUUCAUUCAGUAAUACCUUUUCCAUGCUGUUAAGAUGACAGGUGCAUCUGUUUAAACUUAAAAAAAAAACAACAGUUUGCUUUUGUUCUCCGUGUUGGAUGACAGAUACAGAAACAGAUACAGCAUGAUCACAGACACACUCACACACUGGGCCAUGCUGGCUGAGUCAAGCAGGCCUCAGCUGCAUUCCUGUAUUGGGGUUUGUGUUGAUACGUGCGUCGCAGCACCGCAUGGCUGUCUGGGCUCCCAGCCUGUGAAUCCAAACACGGGGAGGUCAGGACCUCUCAGCAUUUGUUUAAUGCCGAGAUAGGUGUCACCACGGCGGGGUUACAGCGAGGCAGCACCAGGCAUAACUGGCUCCGGAAUGACAACAAACACAGCCGGAUUGUUGUUCUGGUUAAUUUGCUGGUGUUUUCCCAAAUCCAGGGCUUAGCUGACAACACAAGACGUUUAACUCGAUCAGUGUUCCAUUUUUUAUCUGUUUUAUUUUUCACAUAACAUGUUUUCGUUGCCCUCGCAGUCCCUUCCCCCAGAACUUAACUUAGCCCAGCCGGGCCCGGUCGAGCCCUGGUUCUGUUUUAACAGCUUCCUUUCAUCGGCUUUAAAUUGUUAUGAUUGGCUGUCAUAACUCAGCAGCCUCUGAAUUAGAUAACAGAUAACAAUGAACCAACAUGAAAACAGAAAAGGGCAUGAACUGACUACCACCCAGGCAAUGACUUUAUCAGGUCUUCAUGGAAAUUUUAUAUCAAUGCAAUCCUUUUUUGUUUUCUGCUGUCAGACUUGUGUGACAUUUUUAUACAGUGUUUGUGUGCAAAUGACAACAAAUAUGAAGUUCUGGUAAGUUAUCACUGACGAGGAUGUAAAAUCAUAGGCCAAAGUCGCAAGUUACAUACAACAAGACAGAUUGUAUUGACUAUAACACACAAAAUUACAAAAAUAAAAUACAAAUCCCACGAUUCAAAUGCAUUUUGUUGCUUACUGACUUCAACAGAGCACUCGAAAUAUUCAGAACAAUUACUCUGGACAAAAUAUGUGAAGCACCACUGUAGGGCUGCCUUCUUCUGCCAACUGUGGGAGAAGUUCCCCACCACCUUCCUGCCCAGCCUUAUUGCUCUUGACUCUCUGUCAUCUUUUAAUGCAUGUUGGUUGAAUUGAAUGUAUGUUUUAAAUAACUGAAGGGUUGUAACAUGUUGCUGAACCAGCCACAGUAUGCCUUGACCCCAAAAUACAGAGCAAAAAGGUUAUCAAUUGGCCCUUGGUCAUCAGGAGACUUCGAAAUGUAAAGGUGAUGCCAAGGGGUUACAUAUAAAGGUUAAAAAGUUUAGGACCCAAGAUUGACCCCUGGGGAACACCAUAGUUGUCUUUAUUUAUGUACAGUAAACACAGUGAAAUUUGUUACUUUAUACUUUUUAUAUGUCACCUCAUUUGGUUCUGAACUGUUAAAACUGUUCUUUUUGUGUCCUGGAAACACCCUUGGACAUGUUGAGGUAAUAUAAAUCCUGAAAUAGCCACCAUUUCAGAGAACUCCUCCUCUUUCUGUUAGUCUGACCCAGAUGCCCCCUCUCACCUAGAACAGAGUAUUACGAGCUGUUGGAGCAUGACUGACAAAGAUAAGCUCAAGCUGGGAGGUGCAUAAGCUCCUAAAACAUCAGAGCCUGGAAAUCCUGAAAUUAAGUAGAAAAUGUUGGGAGUGCAAAAGUGAGCAAAACUACAGUAACCUCGCCUCUCCUAUUAUUCUUAAACUUCUCUGGACUGAAGAUAAAACACAUCUUCCCCAUUUUGACUCAUGAUAUCAUGUCACAGCAGGUGUAGGUGCUUUCACUCUGACAGACAUGGUGAACACCUGCAGAGACAAGGCUGAAGGGAUGUGUUGGCAAACAGGCGGCAUACUUGAGAGCUUUUUCUGCCGUAGUAGUUGAAUGACACUUCACCAGUGACCUGAAAAGUGUGAAUUCAGUGUGAUAUGUUUGAAAACAGAUGUGACCUGUUCUGAACCUGCGGCCUGUCUGAGCAGAGCUUACAUGAGCGCUUCACUGUAUCUGUCUGUCCCUGCUGUCAAAGCAGAGCAGGCUGUCUGUGUGUCUUUGUGUCAGUGUUGUUGCUGUGUGCAGUGACCUGGGGUUACACUCUCUCUGUUCCCGUUAGGGUAAAUAUCCCUCUAUUAGCAACAAGUGGUCUGAAAGCUCUGAUCCCUUCAGAGCUGCUGGAAGCUUUUAAAGAGAGGAGGAGAGAGAGAAGGGAGGAACAUCAGUUUAACCCUUACAGUGCUGGGCUGAGAACAGAGGCACGUACAGAAGUUAUAUGAGGUACUCCCUUCUGAACAAUGUUGUUAUUUCAGCUGGGUCUAUUAGGCAGAUAUGAUCACGGAUACUUCAAAGUAGAAACCAAGAGACCAGACAUUCAGCAGGACUAGGACACUCAUGCAUUUGGCUAACACAAAACAUGAAGCAAAAUGGAGUGAAAUAAUCGCACAUAUUUGUAAAAACUUGCCAGCCACAGCUAGUAAUUUCAAUUAAAAAACUCUCAAGCUUUCAAAUAUUUAGGUUUUAUAAAUAUUUAAUUAAGAAAUACAGCACAUCUGCUGAAGUUACAGAACGUCAGUUUUUCUGAACAAAAACCCAGUUUUUCCAUUUGCUUUUUUUUACUGUAUUUGAGAACUGGUGUAUUUUUGUGACCCUAAAGCAAAAAAAUUAACGUUUUAUUUUUUUGCUCCUAUUCAAAUCUGAUAACACUGACAACAUGACUUCUUAUCGGACUGUUUGGAGCAUCUCUGUUUGCUUCACUACAGGACGUCUGUGUGCGCCUCAGAUGCUGUGCCAUGGGGAUGAUAAAUAAGUUAUAGACCUAGUGUUUUUAAAUGCUAUAUGUUAUAAAAGUAUCUAAACUUUUCCCCACUUUUUUUCUGUAGAUGAGUCCUCUUGUGUUAGUUCUGUUCUGUCACUCACUAACUCACUGUCCUUCCUGUCCUCUUUUGCACACAUACCUGCACACAGACACACUUUGUCCUCUUUUAGUUUGCAUGUCUUUCAUUGACCACUCUGUGUGUUUGCUGUCAAACAGGGAAAUUUAUGACUGAACCUGCCUUUGUUUCUCUGAAUCAAGGAGUCAAACAGCUCAAGGGGUAGAGUCGGGCAUUGUUGUUGCUAUAAUUGCUCAGAGUAUAAAUGUGAGUUGUCUGACUAAAAUAUCUUUCAGUUUAUUAAGACCCUGAUCAAUUAAAAUCCCACCUUUUUCUCUUUAGAUAGAUGCAUUUUUGAAAUAUCUAAAUUCAUGCCUGAUUAUGCUGCACUGUCCAUGACCACUUCUGCUUCCUCCACCUCUAGACCAAGUAAGGCUGCUACUGGUAACUUUACCUAACAUGGGUUGUUUGAUGUUUUAUUUACACAUUGGGUUUUAUUUGUAUUAUGACAUAAAUCUGAUUUUUAAUUGUUUCAUUUACAUUUAACUGACAAAUAUGCAGCACAUAAAGUUUAUUGGCCUGUUUAUGUGGAAUAUUUCCUAGAAGUAAUAAUCAUCAUAAUAAUCAUUUUGCACUGCAGACACGGUCAUUCUUCUGCCUUAGUGUCUCAGUCUGAUUGCAUUUUCCAAAUAAAUAAUCAUAAAAGUUCUUCCUUAAGCUGCGAAACUCUGCUGGACUCGGUGAUGAACUCAUCAGGGCUCCCCCUUCAAACAAGCGGCUGCUGGAGGAGAGUGGGUGAGUUGUGUUUAGUCUCUUUGCUAAAGAAAUUAGGCAAAGCUUAAAAGAUGUUUGGUGGCUAGUUCCAUGGCUAGGACCCUAUAUUUACUGUUGAUUAAGUUAGGUGCUGUUCUGAGCAUUAUUUGUGGCUAUAGAGUGGCUUUUUGGUUGAGGUUUGCGCAUGGAGUGAUAGACCGUUGUGAGUGUGUAAGUACAACAUAUUUUUGUCGUUUUCUUUAGCUGACAUAUAAAUGACAUGCCAAACGUUAGAAACCUAUAACAUUCUCUGUGAUAGCUUCUUCAGACAGAUAUCUUAUCCUAUCAGAGCUGUUCAGUUGACUUUUGGUGUUGCUUAAUUGAA